CCCUUAGAUGUUCUGGGCCGCACGCGCGCUACACUGAUGCAUUCAACGAGUUUUGUUUGUUCCUUGGCCGAGAGGCCUGGGCAAUCUUUUGAACUUGCAUCGUGAUAGGGAUAGAUUAUUGCAAUUAUUAAUCUUGAACGAGGAAUUCCUAGUAAACGCAGAUCAUCAAUCUGCAUUGAUUACGUCCAUGCCCUUUGUACACACCGCCCGUCGCACCUACCGAUUGAAUGGUCCGGUGAAGCCUCGGGAUUGUGGUUGGUUUCCUUUAUUGGAGAUUGAUUGCGAGAACUUGUCUAAACCUUAUCAUUUAGAGGAAGGUGAAGUCGUAACA
rnacentral:rRNA from 1 species